rnacentral:rRNA from 1 species
GCCCAGCCCUAAACUUUGAUAGCCCACUACACCCGCUAUCCGCCCGGGUACUACGAGCACUAGCUUAAAACCCAAAGGACUUGGCGGUGCUUUAGACCCACCUAGAGGAGCCUGUUCUAGAACCGAUAACCCCCGUUAAACCUCACCCUCUCUUGUUCUUCCCGCCUAUAUACCGCCGUCGUCAGCUUACCCUAUGAAGGAGCCACAGUAAGCAGAACUAGUACAACUCAAAACGCCAGGUCGAGGUGUAGCAUAUGAGAGGGGAAGAAAUGGGCUACAUUCCCUGCCACAGGGAAUACGAACAAUGUAAUGAAAUACGCAUUAGAAGGAGGAUUUAGCAGUAAGCAGAAAAUAGAGCGUUCCGCUGAAACCGGCCCUGAAGCGCGC